rnacentral:rRNA from 1 species
GACGAACGCUGGCGGCGUGCUUAACACAUGCAAGUCGAACGGAAAGGCCCUGCUUUUGUGGGGUGCUCGAGUGGCGAACGGGUGAGUAACACGUGAGUAACCUGCCCUUGACUUUGGGAUAACUUCAGGAAACUGGGGCUAAUACCGGAUAGGAGCUCCUGCUGCAUGGUGGGGGUUGGAAAGUUUCGGCGGUUGGGGAUGGACUCGCGGCUUAUCAGCUUGUUGGUGGGGUAGUGGCUUACCAAGGCUUUGACGGGCAGCCGGCCUGAGAGGGUGACCGGCCAAAUGGGAACGAGAAUACGGCCCGAACCCCUACGGGGGGCAGGGGGGGGAAAAUUGCCACAUGGGGCGAAGGCCGAAGCCACCACCGCGGGGUGGGGAAUGAGGGCCUUGGGGUGGAAACCCCCUUCCCCCGGUAACAAGGGGGGGUGAGCGGAAAGGGUAAAGAAAGCACCGGCAAACUACUG